rnacentral:other from 1 species
AUAAUCCUGUUUUGUUCAUGACCACAUAAAAAACUGAACAAAUAUAGAAGCGGAAUGCUAACAUUACGACUCGAACGCCAUGCUCAUAUUAAGACUGAGAUCGCGAGAAGGGAAGUUGCAGCAAUCCACCUGGAGCAAGUUCAGGUUUUCUAUACGGUUACGGCAUGACGGGACUACA